rnacentral:rRNA from 1 species
GUAGGUGGCAAGCGUUGUCCGGAAUUAAUUGGGCGUAAAGCGCGCGCAGGCGGUUCUUUAAGUCUGAUGUGAAAGCCCACGGGCUCAACCGUGGAGGGUCAUUGGAAACUGGAGAACUUGAGUACAGAAGAGGAAAGCGGAAUUCCACGUGUAGCGGUGAAAUGCGUAGAGAUGUGGAGGAACACCAGUGGCGAAGGCGGCUUUCUGGUCUGUAACUGACGCUGAGGCGCGAAAGCGUGGGGAGCAAACAGGAUUAGAUACCCUGGUAGUCCACGCCGUAAACGAUGAGUGCUAAGUGUUAGGGGGUUUCCGCCCCUUAGUGCUGCAGCUAACGCAUUAAGCACUCCGCCUGGGGAGUACGGCCGCAAGGCUG